GGAUUAGAUACCCUGGUAGUCCACGCCUUAAACGUUGAUCACUAGAUGUUGGCGAUACACAGUCAGCGUCCAAGCGAAAGUGUUAAGUGAUCCACCUGGGGAGUACGAUCGCAAGAUUGAAACUCAAAGGAAUUGACGGGGGCCCGCACAAGCGGUGGAGUAUGUGGUUUAAUUCGAUGAUACGCGAGGAACCUUACCUGGGCUUGAAAGUUAGUGACCGAUGCCGAAAGGUGUUUUCCCGCAAGGGCACGAAACUAGGUGCUGCAUGGCUGUCGUCAGCUCGUGCCG
rnacentral:rRNA from 1 species